rnacentral:rRNA from 1 species
AAUUGGAGGGCAAGUCUGGUGCCAGCAGCCGCGGUAAUUCCAGCUCCAAUAGCGUAUAUUAAAGUUGUUGCAGUUAAAAAGCUCGUAGUUGAAUUUCGGGAUCAAUAUUUCGGUCAUGCCGUUGGUAUGCACUGUUAUCAUUGAUUUCUCACCUUCUAAAGAACCGUAAUGCCAUUAAUUUGGUGUUACGGGGAAUUAGGACUGUUACCUUGAAAAAAUUAGAGUGUUUAAAGCAGGCUCACGCUUGAAUACAUUAGCAUGGAAUAAUGAAAUAGGACAUCCGAUUCUAUUUUGUUGGUUUCUAGGAUCGAUGUAAUGAUUAAUAGGGAUAGUUGGGGGCAUUAGUAUUCAAUUGUCAGAGGUGAAAUUCUUGGAUUUAUUGAAGACUAACUACUGCGAAAGCAUUUGCCAAGGAUGUUUUCAUUAAUCAAGAGCGAAAGUUAGGGGAUCGAAGACGAUCAGAUACCGUCGUAGUCUUAACCAUAAACUAUGCCGACUAGGGAUCGGAUGAUGUUAAUUUUUUAAUGACUCAUUCGGCGCCUUACGGGAAACCAAAGUGU